UGAGGAAACUUCCUGAAAGGUCAUGAGUGAGGAUACACAUGUGUAUCCUUCCCUUGCAUACUAAGGGGGUGGAGCUAAGACGCAAGGAAAGGAAGUAAGGAAAGGAAAUAUGGAUGCACAAAUAAGAAAUGAGAAGCACCCAACGCCUCUGCACUUAUUUCUCUCAACAUGAGGACAGGAGAGCUGUCAGUCAAUGGGAAAACAAUGUAACUUAUUUGAAAAAAUGAAUACUUACAAUGGAGAAAUAAAGUGAAGCCAAAAUGAUUCAUUGUAGGCUAAGGAAUAAAUCAGAGCCACAUGACAUGACUUGUGUGACGGAUAACACAUCCACAUGACAGAUGGCUUAAUCAGGAGGAGUGGAGCGAAGAGAUUUCCCGCUAGAUUACCCAUCUGAAGCUAUACAACAGAAGAGAUUGCGUAAAUCUCCCAUUAAGCAGUUGGUUUAUAUACUGCUAUUGAAUAUUUCCACCAUUAUUUGCCAGAAAAAAAAUAUAUAGCUCAUGAAACACACAUUGACCCUCUGUGACAACAUGCCCCAGUAGCAUAGAACAUGGUUUCUCACUAUAUGGGGUUAGAUGGAAGCCCAUAGGGCAGUGGUAAAUUCCUGCGUGAGAGGAAAGGGAUUAUUUAAAGAGUUAGCGAAACCUAUAAAAGAAUAUGAUGUAGACACAGGUCUGGACUUUGCCAGAUGUUUGCAACUGCUGUCAUUUCAAUAAAGCUCUAAAAGAGAUUUACAGAAAGGAUUAUAGUGUUGGACUGACAAUGGGUUGUAAAUACACAGAAAUAGAUAUAUAAAAAUCAUCAACAGUUGGGAAUCAAUACAUACACUAAAUGGAAAAUGAUGCAUCAGUCAUGCAUGUUGCACCCUUUUGACCAAACAUCAGACACAUAGGACUGUUAUAUAUAAAACAUGAAUUUGCUUAUAAUUUUAAGAAGAUUUAAGACCUAUCGAUGGCUAAAUAUGGCAAAUUAAAUUUAAAAGUGAACAAAAACCAACAGCACAAUGACAGAUAGAUAGGCUAUGUAAAAAAGAAGAAUGCAUUACCUGGUGUGAGCAUCCAGCAGAAGACAAAAAAAGAAAAAUAUUGCACAUUCCUGACAGUCAUCUCGCAAUUCACUUCAUUGAUUAUCGGGCAUAAAAUUACAGGUGAUAAAUAUUCAAUUCAUUGAAGAUCUAGUCCUGUCAACUCCAGAGGACAGCUGCUGUAUGAAAGUCAAUAAAA